UUCCUUCUAGAAAAACUCAAGCAUUGUACUAAGUUUCAGAUUCUGAUGCAACAUGUGCAACGUGUGCGUGUUUUCAGAUAAGCAUGUUUGAUGGGUGUGUAUAAUACAAUUGAAGUGGCUACAUAACUGAUUGAGGAAGCCAUGUGCAAUUCUGAAACAUGUCUGCAAAUACUGGUACUUCUCAUACUCUAUUUAUUCUGUGUAUGAUACUUAGGCCAAGAGGACUGUUUAAAAAAUGUUAAACAUUAUUUGGUGUCCACUAGUAAUCUGCAGUGCUUUGAGUGCCUUAGUUUUCUAAAAUACAUCUGCAGACUUCUUAGAGGAAUAUGUAAAUAUCAUGGUGUUGCUGCGUAAUGUUUAUAAUGCUUUGUUUCACAAAUGGAAGUUGGAAGUUGUGACCAUUAUAAAUACUGGAAGUAGGUAUUAUAUAAUUUGUUCUGAAGCUAGGAUAUUCCUUUUAAGGACAAAAAAUUCACAUUGUAAGCCUUGAAAGCUUGGUCACAAGAUUUCAAACGUGUCACCAUACUAGCAAUACAGAUAGUCCAUUUCUGCAUUUUUAAUAAAAAUGCUUUUUAAAUUUUAAUUUGAUUGCAUGUUGGAGGGCUGAAGUUUCAGGCUAGGGAAAAACAAACAAACCAACAAACAAACAAACACCUGUGUCAGUGAUAUUGUUUUCCCUAAAAGAGUUUAUUUGCAGGAACUGCCCAGAUGAUUAGAAUAUCAGACACCACCCCCAUACGUAUCAGGCAAACUUCAGAUAAGAUAAUCAAAGAUGAAUGGAUAUCUUCCACAGAAAUACUGUGUGCAGUAUAUGGUGUGUGUAAGACAGAAAAAUUCUUUUUGGCAGAGAUAGGACUUAAGCAAUAAUAUGUGAUAGAUAGUUUGUCUGUCCUAUUGUAAUAUUUUUUUGCUACAGCCUGACAUGACAGCCCAGUAAAUAUUUGAAAGAAAAGGUGUUAUAGCUCAGAGAUUGCAAGUCACCUAAUUUAAAAUUAGGGAUAGAAGAACAGGCAAGAAAAAUUAUAUCUAACCUUAGGGGUUCUUCCCAAGUUUUAUUUUGGGUUCAUUGAUUUUUCCAUAAAAGAAAUAUCAAAAUUACAUAUUCAUUAUACCUUAGCUUUUCACAGUGAGUACCUGUGGAGUAAGUGGAAAAAGUCUCCCACAGCAUGUUCAUUUUUAAUGAGAACAGAGUACUUAUAUUGUGUAUCACAAUCAAAUCACUUGUCAUUCUGUAAUAGGACAACUACCAACUGAGCCAUUCUCACAGAAUGCCUCUUUCCUUUGGGCUAAGAGGUAAUCUGUGCAAAUCACUCAUCAGGUCUUGGUUAUGCCCUGUGUACAAAUUGCAGUUCUGGAAAAGAACCAUACUGUCAGGCUGGUGUUGGCUUUACCUGCUACUUAGGGUUGUCUAAAUAGAAAUAAAGGUUGUUGUGUCAGUUUUAAGGUAUUAAUCACUUUGGUUUCUUUUAUAUAUGUAUUGUAACUGUAUGCUUAUUAGACUGAUAUUGGCUCAUGCUUUAAUUGUACAACCAGGGUCAUCCUCUUGAAGGUGUAAAUGGGUAUAGUACUCUUGAAUUAGUACAGAAAGCUUAUAUAGCUGAAAAACCUGGAUUUAGAAUUAUUUCAUAAAUAGUGGAUCCACAGAAGGAUGAGCCAUUGCUGCAUAGUACUGUAGCACCUAAUUCAUAACCUGCUGACACACAAAUCUAUGUUACUGGAAUUAAAAAAAAAAAAGCUUCCUGUACAAGGUACAUCAGAGUCAGAUGUCUCACAAAAGGAUUUAGAAAAAGCAGCAUGCUGAGCAGGGAACCUCUAAGUUAGCCGGUAGGAAAUGCUGAACACAGAAAUACAUCUUAAAUUACAUAUCUCUGUGAGAUUUACGCACCUUACUCAGGACUACUGGGAAGCAUUAUCAUCCUCUUGGGAUUUCAGUCCAGAGUCAUUUCCUGAACUAAGUGUUUCUACAGUAUAUUAGGCAAGAAAAUAAAUAAAUAGAUAAAUAAAAAGCCAAUACUUUCAGGGAACCACCUUCAUGUCUGCUCGUCUUUGUUAAAUAGCCUAAUGUUUAGUUUCACCAGGGGACAAAGGUCUUCAAUCCUGUUUCCCAUUUUCCAGCAGAAUGGCUUAACAUUCAGUAGAUUUUUCUGGGAUGUAGCUUAAUCGUGUGUUUGUACCACAAAGAAGUUGCUGCUUUCCACAUAAUGGAAUAAAAGAUCUGCUGGUCCACAGAAAAAGGGGGGGACCCAGUAGGGGUGUGUAAGACCAGCAGUCUGAGAAGAUCUUUCAGACAUCUCCAUGAACUAGAUUUUCAUUACUUUAGCUUUAAAUAUAUGUGAUUAAAUUACUGUAUUUAAUAAAUUGUAGUGGCAACACUAGUAUUUUUCAAUCUGCUUUUACUCUUUAUAUAAUAAAAUCAGUAUAAUACCUAAAGAAGAAGAAAACUCUCCUAUAAUGUUUCUAAACCCAUUCUAUAUUCCCUUUUCUCUUUUUUAAUCACUGUGAUACAAAUCCUUGUACCAAAGGAUUUGGAGACAGUUACAAAAAAUCCUCUUCUCUUGUAUCCCAAGCAUGCAGACUUGUUCUGUAUAUCUUUUCUAAUGUAUUGUGCAGCAGCAGUAGGUAAUUAAAACUUUUUCAGUCAUCUUCUUAGCCUUACUUUGAUUUAGUCAUGGAAACAAGUUUACAAAAUGACCACAGGAAAGCAGAUUUCUGUUCAAGGCAAAGGAAUGAGAGUUAAUAGAUCUGUCACAGAAAUCCUGUGUAAGAGCAUACUGAGUACUCUUUCACUUGGUAUCUUUACUACAAAAUUGGAUGCUUGCUGAAAAGCUGCGACAAUAAAUGCUUUGACAAUUAAGGAGCUGCUAUCUUCUCAGGAGGUCACAAUGUCUAGGCAACCUAUGCAAACAGAGGUUAUAAAGAAAGCCAAACAAAAAAAGUAAAUCAUUUCAUUAUACAAAAUACUCUUUUUUUUUUUUUUUUUUUUUUUUUUAUGCCUUCUAAUGCUUAUUCCAUUAUCAGUAUCAUUAUUCCAGAGUUUGGAAAUUGAAAAAAAAAAAAAAAUAAUAAGAUUUUUCGAAAUUAACAUUAUGAAGAUUACUAAAGUUAGAACACAGGAAGAGUUCAGUCUCAAUUUACAUAAUGAACAAUGAUUUUCUGUCAUCAGAGCUGUGAUCAUGGCCUUUCCAAGGUCAUUGAUGUCUCUUAUUUUGGCUGAGCUGGUAUUUUCCUACUGCAUCUUUAGACAGGGAGAACUUUUAUACCUGAUACUUUUCUAUGGCAGUUUUAUCCAGAGGACCCAUAAUUUUCUCUUUAGGAUUGAAAACAUAAAAGCAAGCCUAAAAUUCGAAUGGUUUGUUCUUUCUUUCUUCCUUUCUUCCUUCCUUCCAUGUAGUUUUGAAGACAUAGGUAUUAUGACAGCUACACGGUAAGAUAUUUUCAGCCUUUUAGGAGUAAGUA